rnacentral:rRNA from 1 species
GACGGAGGGGGCAAGCGUUGUUCGGAAUUACUGGGCGUAAAGGGCGCGCAGGCGGUCAUGCAAGUCGGGGGUGAAAGCCCACGGCUUAACCGUGGAAUUGCCUUCGAAACUGCAUGACUUGAGUACGGAAGAGGAGAGCGGAAUUCCCAGUGUAGCGGUGAAAUGCGUAGAUAUUGGGAGGAACACCAGUGGCGAAGGCGGCUCUCUGGUCCGAUACUGACGCUGAGGCGCGAAAGCCAGGGGAGCAAACGGG